rnacentral:rRNA from 1 species
CCUACGGGAGGCAGCAGUGAGGAAUAUUGGUCAAUGGCCGGAAGGCUGAACCAGCCAUGCCGCGUGAAGGUCAGUGCCCUAUGGGCGUUAAACUUCUUUUGUGCGGGAGCAAUAAUGGUCACGUGUGGCCAGACGAGAGUACCGUACGAAUAAGUAUCGGCUAACUCCGUGCCAGCAGCCGCGGUAAUACGGGGGAUGCAAGCGUUAUCCGGAUUUAUUGGGUUUAAAGGGUGCGUAGGCUGUGAGGUAAGUCAGCGGUGAAAUGCCCCCGCUCAACGGGGUGAAGUGCCAUUGAUACUGCCUGGCUGGAAUGCGGAUGCCGUGGGAGGAAUGUGUGGUGUAGCGGUGAAAUGCAUAGAUAUCACACAGAACACCGAGUGCGAAGGCAUCUCACGAAUCCGCGAUUGACGCUGAUGCACGAAAGCGUGGGUAUCAAACAGGAUUAGAUACCCCAGUAGUC